rnacentral:rRNA from 1 species
GACGAACGCUGGCGGCGUGCUUAACACAUGCAAGUCGAACGGAAAGGCCCUGCUUUUGUGGGGUGCUCGAGUGGCGAACGGGUGAGUAACACGUGAGUAACCUGCCCUUGACUUUGGGAUAACUUCAGGAAACUGGGGCUAAUACCGGAUAGGAGCUCCUGCUGCAUGGUGGGGGUUGGAAAGUUUCGGCGGUUGGGGAUGGACUCGCGGCUUAUCAGCUUGUUGGUGGGGUAGUGGCUUACCAAGGCUUUGACGGGUAGCCGGCCUGAGAGGGUGACCGGCCACAUUGGGACUGAGAUACGGCCCAGACUCCUGCGGGAGGCAGCAGUGGGGAAUAUUGCACAAUGGGCGGAAGCCUGAUGCAGCAACGCCGCGUGCAGGAUGACGGCCUUCGGGUUGUAAACCGCUUUCGCCUGUGACGAAGCGUGAGUGACGGUAAUGGGUAAAGAAGCACCGGCUAACUACGUG